rnacentral:rRNA from 1 species
CUCAGGAUGAACGCUAGCGACAGGCUUAACACAUGCAAGUCGAGGGGCAGCACAGGUAGCAAUACCGGGUGGCGACCGGCGCACGGGUGAGUAACGCGUAUGCAACUUGCCUAUCAGAGGGGGAUAACCCGGCGAAAGUCGGACUAAUACCGCAUGAAGCAGGGGCCCCGCAUGGGGAUAUUUGCUAAAGAUUCAUCGCUGAUAGAUAGGCAUGCGUUCCAUUAGGCAGUUGGCGGGGUAACGGCCCACCAAACCGACGAUGGAUAGGGGUUCUGAGAGGAAGGUCCCCCACAUUGGUACUGAGACACGGACCAAACUCCUACGGGAGGCAGCAGUGAGGAAUAUUGGUCAAUGGCCGAGAGGCUGAACCAGCCAAGUCGCGUGAGGGAUGAAGGUUCUAUGGAUCGUAAACCUCUUUUAUAAGGGAAUAAAGUGCGGGACGUGUCCCGUUUUGUAUGUACCUUAUGAAUAAGGAUCGGCUAACUCCGUGCCAGCAGCCGCGGUAAUACGGAGGAUCCGAGCGUUAUCCGGAUUUAUUGGGUUUAAAGGGUGCGUAGGCGGCCUUUUAAGUCAGCGGUGAAAGUCUGUGGCUCAACCAUAGAAUUGCCGUUGAAACUGGGGGGCUUGAGUAUGUUUGAGGCAGGCGGAAUGCGUGGUGUAGCGGUGAAAUGCAUAGAUAUCACGCAGAACCCCGAUUGCGAAGGCAGCCUGCCAAGCCAUUACUGACGCUGAUGCACGAAAGCGUGGGGAUCAAACAGGAUUAGAUACCCUGGUAGUCCACGCAGUAAACGAUGAUCACUAGCUGUUUGCGAUACACUGUAAGCGGCACAGCGAAAGCGUUAAGUGAUCCACCUGGGGAGUACGCCGGCAACGGUGAAACUCAAAGGAAUUGACGGGGGCCCGCACAAGCGGAGGAACAUGUGGUUUAAUUCGAUGAUACGCGAGGAACCUUACCCGGGUUUGAACGCAUUCGGACCGAGGUGGAAACACCUUUUCUAGCAAUAGCCGUUUGCGAGGUGCUGCAUGGUUGUCGUCAGCUCGUGCCGUGAGGUGUCGGCUUAAGUGCCAUAACGAGCGCAACCCUUGCCACUAGUUACUAACAGGUAAAGCUGAGGACUCUGGUGGGACUGCCAGCGUAAGCUGCGAGGAAGGCGGGGAUGACGUCAAAUCAGCACGGCCCUUACAUCCGGGGCGACACACGUGUUACAAUGGCGUGGACAAAGGGAAGCCACCUGGCGACAGGGAGCGAAUCCCCAAACCACGUCUCAGUUCGGAUCGGAGUCUGCAACCCGACUCCGUGAAGCUGGAUUCGCUAGUAAUCGCGCAUCAGCCAUGGCGCGGUGAAUACGUUCCCGGGCCUUGUACACACCGCCCGUCAAGCCAUGGGAGCCGGGGGUACCUGAAGUCCGUAACCGCGAGGAUCGGCCUAGGGUAAAACUGGUGACUGGGGCUAAGUCGUAACAAGGWAACCCGUA